rnacentral:rRNA from 1 species
AUUAAACUGAAGAGUUUGAUCAUGGCUCAGAUUGAACGCUGGCGGAAUGCUUUACACAUGCAAGUCGAACGGCAGCACGGACUUCGGUCUGGUGGCG